rnacentral:rRNA from 1 species
AACGAACGCUGGCGGCAGGCUUAACACAUGCAAGUCGAGCGCCCCGCAAGGGGAGCGGCAGACGGGUGAGUAACGCGUGGGAAUCUACCCUGAUCUGCGGAAUAGCUCCGGGAAACUGGAAUUAAUACCGCAUGUGCCCUGAGGGGCAAAGAUUUAUCGGUUCAGGAUGAGCCCGCGUCCGAUUAGCUAGUUGGUGGGGUAAUGGCCUACCAAGGCGACGAUCGGUAGCUGGUCUAAGAGGAUGAUCAGCCACAUUGGGACUGAGACACGGCCCAAACUCCUACGGGAGGCAGCAGUGGGGAAUAUUGGACAAUGGGCGCAAGCCUGAUCCAGCCAUGCCGCGUGAGUGAUGAAGGCCCUAGGGUUGUAAAGCUCUUUCAGUGGGGACGAUAAUGACGGUACCCACGGAAGAAGCCCCGGCUAACUUCGUGCCAGCCGCCGCGGUAAAAC